rnacentral:rRNA from 1 species
AUCGAACGCUGGCGGCAGGCCUAACACAUGCAAGUCGAGCGGAUGAAGGGAGCUUGCUCCUGGAUUCAGCGGCGGACGGGUGAGUAAUGCCUAGGAAUCUGCCUGGUAGUGGGGGAUAACGUCCGGAAACGGGCGCUAAUACCGCAUACGUCCUGAGGGAGAAAGUGGGGGAUCUUCGGACCUCACGCUAUCAGAUGAGCCUAGGUCGGAUUAGCUAGUUGGUGGGGUAAAGGCCUACCAAGGCGACGAUCCGUAACUGGUCUGAGAGGAUGAUCAGUCACACUGGAACUGAGACACGGUCCAGACUCCUACGGGAGGCAGCAGUGGGGAAUAUUGGACAAUGGGCGAAAGCCUGAUCCAGCCAUGCCGCGUGUGUGAGGAAGGUCUUCGGAUUGUAAAGCACUUUAAGUUGGGAGGAAGGGCAGUAAGUUAAUACCUUGCUGUUUUGACGUUACCAACAGAAUAAGCACCGGCUAACUUCGUG